UACUUAACGAGCAGAAGAUCCUGGUUAUGUGCACAGAUACUUUAUUAGAAAUGCGCUCCGUUUUUCAUCAUAUGAAACCGUCCAGGAGUCCGGAAAAACGGGAAGUUGGGUUGAUUAUGUUUCAAACCCUGGGAGUUCGUAAGGCUGCGAAAGUUGGAAAUCUACGGAUUAUAUUUCUGAGCGGUGGCCGUGACAGGAAACUGUGAAGAUGGACCGACGAAGCCUUAUGGACCGACGAAGCAACAAUGGGAUAAACAUUUUUCAACAUGUAAAAGUUUUUUACUACGUACCUACUGGUUUAAUAAACUAAA